rnacentral:rRNA from 1 species
CCUUGCAGAUGACAAGGUUGAUAGGUCUGAGGUGGAAGCGUGGUGACACGUGGAGCUGACAGAUACUAAUCGGUCGAGGGCUUAUCCA